CCUACGGGUGGCAGCAGUGGGGAAUAUUGGGCAAUGGGCGCAAGCCUGACCCAGCGACGCCGCGUGAGGGAAGACGGUCUUCGGAUUGUAAACCUCUUUUAUGCGGGGAUAAAGGUGUCCACGUGUGGAUGUUUGCAGGUACCGCAUGAAUAAGGACCGGCUAAUUCCGUGCCAGCAGCCGCGGUAAUACGGAAGGUCCGGGCGUUAUCCGGAUUUAUUGGGUUUAAAGGGAGCGUAGGCCGGUCUUUAAGCGUGCCGUGAAAUUUUGUGGCUCAACCAUGAGAGUGCGGCGCGAACUGGAGACCUUGAGUGCGCGGAAGGCAGGCGGAAUUCGUGGUGUAGCGGUGAAAUGCUUAGAUAUCACGAAGAACCCCGAUUGCGAAGGCAGCCUGCCGCAGCGUUACUGACGCUGAAGCUCGAAAGCGCGGGUAUCGAACAGGAUUAGAUACCCGGGUAGUC
rnacentral:rRNA from 1 species